rnacentral:rRNA from 1 species
CAAGGUGCUGCAUGGUUGUCGUCAGCUCGUGCCGUGAGGUGUCAGGUUAAGUCCUAUAACGAGCGCAACCCCUAUCGUUAGUUGCCAGCGGGUCAUGCCGGGAACUCUAAUGAGACUGCCGGUGCAAACCGAGAGGAAGGUGGGGAUGACGUCAAAUCAUCACGGCCCUUACGUCCUGGGCCACACACGUGCUACAAUGGCCGGUACAGAGAGCAGCCACUACGCGAGUAGGAGCGAAUCUUCAAAACCGGUCUCAGUUCGGAUCGCAGUCUGCAACUCGACUGCGUGAAGCUGGAAUCGCUAGUAAUCGGAUAUCAGCCAUGAUCCGGUGAAUACGUUCCCGGG